UACGUAGGCAGCGAGCGUUGUUCGGAGUUACUGAGCGUAAAGGGUGUGUAGGCGGUUGCUUAAGUUUGGUGUGAAAUCUCCCGGCUUAACCGGGAGGGUGCGCCGAAUACUGAGUGACUUCGAGUGCGGGAGAGGAAAGUGGAAUUCCUGGUGUAGCGGUGAAAUGCGUAGAUAUCAGGAAGAACACCCGUGGCUAAGGCGGCUCUCUAGUACGGUACUGACGCUGAGACGCGAAAGCGUGGGGAGCGAACAGG
rnacentral:rRNA from 1 species